GUCCGGUUCGAUUUCGUUUUUUUUUCUUCUUCGUGGGGUUGGUGGGAAAGCAUGGCGGCGCCGGAUGUUGAGUACCGCUGCUUCGUCGGCGGCCUCGCCUGGGCCACCGACGACCGCUCCCUCGAAGCCGCCUUCUCCACCUUCGGCGAGAUCCUCGAGUCCAAGGUCCGAUGGAUUGAUUCCCUCUUCUCUGUGUUUUUUUGGAUGUGAUUUGGUGGUGGUGUUCUUCAGAUCUGGUUGCGUAGAUCUGACUAUGGGGGUUGUGGUAUGCGGUGCAGAUCAUCAACGAUCGGGAGACGGGGAGGUCGCGCGGGUUCGGGUUCGUGACGUUCUCGAGCGAGCAGGCCAUGCGCGACGCCAUCGAGGGGAUGAACGGCAAGGAGCUCGACGGCCGCAACAUCACCGUCAACGAGGCCCAGUCGCGCCGCUCCGGAGGCGGAGGCGGAGGCGGCUACGGCCAGCGCGGCGGAGGCGGAGGCUACGGUGGCGGCGGCGGCUACGGUGGUGGCGGCGGCGGUGGCUACGGCCAGCGCCGUGAAGGCGGCUACGGCGGUGGCGGCGGCUACGGUGGCGGCCGUGGCGGCGGCGGCGGCUACGGCGGUGGCUACGGCAGCCGCGGCGGCGGCAACUCCGACGGGAACUGGAGGAACUGAGCGGUGGGGCCCUCAUGGCCAAGUUAUCUAUCUAUCUAAUCGAGCUACCAUCAUCAUCAUCCGAUCGUUAUCAUCGUUAGUUUUGUGUGGAACUACUAU
rnacentral:lncRNA from 1 species